rnacentral:rRNA from 1 species
UAAGGAAUAUUGCUCAAUGGGAGAAAUCCUGAAGCAGCAACGCCGCGUGGAGGAUGAAGGGUCUAUGACUUGUAAACUCCUGUAAAGAAGGAAAAAAUUCCCAUUAGAUGGGAGAUGAUGGUACUUCUGGAGUAAGCCCCGGCUAACUACGUGCCAGCAGCCGCGGUAAUACGUAGGGGGCAAGCGUUGUCCGGAUUUACUGGGUGCAAAGGGUGCUCAGGCGGAUUUGUAAGUCAGAGGUGAAAUCUUACAGCUUAACUGUGAAACUGCCUUUGAUACUGCAAGCCUAGAGUAUGGAAGAGAGUGAUGGAAUAUCUGGUGUAGCAGUGAAAUGCGUAGAUAUCAGAUAGAACACCUAUGGCGAAGGCAGUCACUUGGUCCAUUACUGACGCUAAAGCACGAAAGCGUGGGUAGCAAACA